UACGUAGGGUGCGAGCGUUAAUCGGAAUUACUGGGCGUAAAGCGUGCGCAGGCGGCUUUGCAAGACAGACGUGAAAUCCCCGGGCUCAACCUGGGAACUGCAUUUGUGACUGCAAGGCUAGAGUACGGCAGAGGGGGAUGGAAUUCCGCGUGUAGCAGUGAAAUGCGUAGAUAUGCGGAGGAACACCAAUGGCGAAGGCAAUCCCCUGGGCCUGUACUGACGCUCAUGCACGAAAGCGUGGGGAGCAAACAGG
rnacentral:rRNA from 1 species